rnacentral:lncRNA from 1 species
CUGCAUGAUAUUAGCUUUAUGUGGAAUCUAAAAAAGCCAAACACAGAGAAACAGAGAGUAGAGUGGUGGUUGCCAGGGACUGAGAGGGAAGUGAUAAAUUUAUUACCUUGGUGGGAAGGAGGUAAGAAAAGGAAAACAAGGCCAGGUGGAGGAAACAAUGGACAAUCUUUUUUGCAAAGAAAGGAUCUGGAAGGUGUGCUUAUGAAGAGUGUAUUCCGCAGUUUGUCUAGUGCAAAGCUGUUAAACCAUGAUGUGCCUACUUCUAUAUCACCAAUUAAAUUCCUAUAUGACUCAAACUUGCCACAUGUAACAACUAAUAACCCUGGACAAAAUACAAAAGAAAAAAAAAGGUACUUCACAGUGAAUGAAUAUUCACUCAAGAUUUCUUGAGGAGACUGAAAACUUAGAAGAAGAGGA